UACGUAGGGUGCAAGCGUUGUUCGGAAUCAUUGGGCGUAAAGCGCGUGUAGGCGGUAAGCUAAGUUUGGUGUGAAAGCCCGGGGCUUAACCUCGGAAGGGCACUGGAUACUGGCUUACUAGAGGACGGGAGAGGAUGGUGGAAUUCCUGGUGUAGGGGUGAAAUCCGUAGAUAUCAGGAGGAACAUCUGUAGCGAAGGAGGCCAUCGGGUCCGUUUCUGACGAUGAGACGCGAAAGCGUGGGUAGCAAACAGG
rnacentral:rRNA from 1 species